AAAAAUUUAAUAAAAUAAAGAAAAUGAAGAAUGAAAACUGAAUAAAAUCAAAAAGAAUAAUCAAAGAAAAAAAUAAAAAUUUGUGGGUUGUCUCCCACGAAGCGCUUUGUUUAAUGUCGCAAGCUCGACAUAAAACUAUUAAAUGUUAAUCUAUUAACUUUGGAGAUAAUACGUCUAAGUGCAGGACUUGCGAGUCUUCAUUGUUUUCAGCAUAAUGAUAAUGUUUUAGACGCUGCCUGUUUACGAUAAAUGAUUCAAUAGAUUUUCCUUUAAUUUCUACAACUCCACUG
rnacentral:lncRNA from 1 species